UAGGGAAUCUUCCACAAUGGACGAAAGUCUGAUGGAGCAACGCCGCGUGAGUGAAGAAGGUUUUCGGAUCGUAAAGCUCUGUUGUUGGUGAAGAAGGAUAGAGGCAGUAACUGGUCUUUAUUUGACGGUAAUCAACCAGAAAGUCACGGCUAACUACGUGCCAGCAGCCGCGGUAAUACGUAGGUGGCAAGCGUUGUCCGGAUUAUUGGGCGUAAAGCGAGCGCAGGCGGAAUGAUAAGUCUGAUGUGAAAGCCCACGGCUCAACCGUGGAACUGCAUCGGAAACUGUCAUUCUUGAGUGCAGAAGAGGAGAGUGGAACUCCAUGUGUAGCGGUGGAAUGCGUAGAUAUAUGGAAGAACACCAGUGGCGAAGGCGGCUCUCUGGUCUGCAACUGACGCUGAGGCUCGAAAGCAUGGGUAGCGAACAGGAUUAGAUACCCUGGUAGUCCAUGCCGUAAACGAUGAGCGCUAGGUGUUGGGGACUUUCCGGUCCUCAGUGCCGCAGCAAACGCAUUAAGCGCUCCGCCUGGGGAGUACGACCGCAAGGUUGAAAC
rnacentral:rRNA from 1 species